UACCUGGUUGAUUCUGCCCGUUUCAUAUGCUUGUCUCAAAGAUUAAGCCAUGCAUGUCUAAGUAUAAGCAAUUAUACCGUGAAACUGCGAAUGGCUCAUUAAAUCAGUUAUCGUUUAUUUGAUAAUACCUUACUACUUGGAUAACCGUGGUAAUUCUAGAGCUAAUACAUGCUGAAAAUCCCGACUUCGGAAGGGAUGUGUUUAUUAGAUAAAAAACCAAUGCCCUUCGGGGCUUUUUGGUGAUUCAUGAUAACUUUACGGAUCGCAUAGCCUUGCGCUGGCGACGGUUCAUUCAAAUUUCUGCCCUAUCAACUUUCGAUGGUAAGGUAUUGGCUUACCAUGGUUUCAACGGGUAACGGGGAAUUAGGGUUCGAUUCCGGAGAGGGAGCCUGAGAAACGGCUACCACAUCCAAGGAAGGCAGCAGGCGCGCAAAUUACCCAAUCCCGACACGGGGAGGUAGUGACAAUAAAUACUGAUACAGGGCUCUUUUGGGUCUUGUAAUUGGAAUGAGUACAAUUUAAACCUCUUAACGAGGAACAAUUGGAGGGCAAGUCUGGUGCCAGCAGCCGCGGUAAUUCCAGCUCCAAUAGCGUAUAUUAAAGUUGUUGCAGUUAAAAAGCUCGUAUUUGAAACUUGGGCCUGGCUGGCGGGUCCGCCUCACCGCGUGCACUCGUCCGGCCGGGCCUUCCUU
rnacentral:rRNA from 1 species